rnacentral:rRNA from 1 species
GACGAACCGUGCAACCGUUAUUCGGAAUCACUGGGCCUAAAGGGCGCGUAGGCGGCUUUCUAAGUCAGGGGUGAAAUCCGGCAGCUCAACUGUCGCAGUGCCUUUGAUACUGGAGAGCUCGAGGGAGGUAGGGGUCUGUGGAACUUCCGGUGGAGCGGUUAAAUGCGUUGAUAUCGGAAGGAACGCCGGUGGCGAAAGCGACGGACUGGAUCUCUUCUGACGCUGAGGCGCGAAAGCCAGGGGAGCAAACGGG